AGCUUAGUGUUCUUUUACUAAAUAAUUUCUGCCCGCUGAAAGUUUGAAUGGCCGCAGUACUUUGACUGUGCUAAGGUAGCAUAAUAAUUUGGUUUUUAAUUAAAAUCUAGUAUGAAUGGAAAAAUGUGGGAUAACUGUCUCUGGUUAGCUAACUGAAGUUACUGAAAAGGUGAAAAUUCCUUUACAAAGAAAAAAGACGAAAAGACCCUUAGAGUUUUUAUAAGAGUAUUAGCUUAAUACGAUUUUUUGUUGGGGUGACAUGAUGUCAGAGAAAGAACACAUCAAUUUUUAGCAAACCGUAAGUUAAUAUUUGGGUAAACUACCUUAGGGAUAACAGCAUAAUCUUUAAGAAAGUUUGUGACCUCGAUGUUGGACUAGGAACUCUUUAGGUUAAAAACAUUAAGAGUAAGUUCUGUUCGAACUUAAGUACCU
rnacentral:rRNA from 1 species